GAUGAACGCUGGCGGCGUGCCUAAUACAUGCAAGUCGAGCGAACAGAUGAGGAGCUUGCUCCUCUGACGUUAGCGGCGGACGGGUGAGUAACACGUGGAUAACCUACCUAUAAGACUGGGAUAACUUCGGGAAACCGGAGCUAAUACCGGAUAAUAUAUUGAACCGCAUGGUUCAAUAGUGAAAGACGGUUUUGCUGUCACUUAUAGAUGGAUCCGCGCCGCAUUAGCUAGUUGGUAAGGUAACGGCUUACCAAGGCAACGAUGCGUAGCCGACCUGAGAGGGUGAUCGGACACACUGGAACUGAGACACGGACCAGACUCCUACGGGAGGCAGCAGUAGGGAAUGUUCCGCAAUGGGCGAAAGCAUGACGGAGCAACGCCGAGUGAGUGAUGAAGGUCUUCGGAGCGUAAAACUCUGUUAUUAGGGAAGAACAAAUGUGUAAGUAAAUAUGCACGUAUUGACGGUACCUAAUAAGAAAGCCACGGCUAACUACGUG
rnacentral:rRNA from 1 species